CCUACGGGAGGCAGCAGUGAGGAAUAUUGGUCAAUGGGCGAGAGCCUGAACCAGCCAAGUCGCGUGAAGGAUGAAGGAUCUAUGGUUUGUAAACUUCUUUUAUAUGGGAAUAAAGUGAGGAACGUGUUCCUUUUUGUAUGUACCAUAUGAAUAAGCAUCGGCUAACUCCGUGCCAGCAGCCGCGGUAAUACGGAGGAUGCGAGCGUUAUCCGGAUUUAUGGGGUUGAAGGGGUGCGUAGGUGGUUAAUUAAGUCAGCGGUGAAAGUUUGUGGCUCAACCAUCAAAUUGCCGUUGAAACUGGGUGACUUGAGUAUAUGAGAGGGAGUCGGAAUGCGUGGUGUAGCAGUGAAAUGCAUAGAUAUCACGCAGAACUCCGAUUGCGAAGGCAGAUUACUAAACAAUAACUGACGCUGAGGCACGAAAGCGUGGGGAUCAAACAGGAUUAGAUACCCUUGUAGUC
rnacentral:rRNA from 1 species